rnacentral:rRNA from 1 species
UCGAGCGAAGCUUUUCAGUAGUUUACUACAGAAAAUGACUGAGCGGCGAACGGGUGAGUAACGCGUGAGCAACCUACCUUAGUUACUGGGAUAGCCCGAGGAAACUCGGAUUAAUACCGGAUAUUCUUAUUUAAUCACAUGAUUUUUUAAGGAAAGGUCAGCCGAACUAAGAUGGGCUCGCGUUCUAUCAGCUAGUUGGUAGGGUAAUGGCCUACCAAGGCUACGACGGAUAGCUGGUCUGAGAGGACGAUCAGCCACACUGGGACUGAGACACGGCCCAGACUCCUACGGGAGGCUGCAGCAGGGAAUAUUGCGCAAUGAGCGAAAGCUUGACGCAGCGACACCGCGUGUGGGAUGACGGAUCUAGGUUUGUAAACCACUUUCAGGAGGGAAGAAAAUGACGGUACCUCCACAAGAAGCCCCGGCCAACUACGUGCCAGCAGCCGCGGUAAUACGUAGGGGGCGAGCGUUGUCCGGAUUUAUUGGGCGUAAAGAGCUCGUAGGCGGUUCAACAAGUCGGUCGUGAAAGUUCAGGGCUCAACCCUGAAAAUGUCGAUCGAUACUGUUGUGACUAGGAUAC